rnacentral:rRNA from 1 species
UAGGGAAUCUUCCGCAAUGGACGCAAGUCUGACGGAGCAACGCCGCGUGAGUGAAGAAGGAUUUCGGUUCGUAAAACUCUGUUGUUAGAGAAGAACAGCGCAUAGAGUAACUGUUAUGCGUGUGACGGUAUCUAACCAGAAAGCCACGGCUAACUACGUGCCAGCAGCCGCGGUAAUACGUAGGUGGCAAGCGUUGUCCGGAUUUAUUGGGCGUAAAGCGAGCGCAGGCGGUCAAUUAAGUCUGAUGUGAAAGCCCCCGGCUCAACCGGGGAGGGUCAUUGGAAACUGGUUUACUUGAGUGCAGAAGAGGAGAGUGGAAUUCCAUGUGGAGCGGUGAAAGGCGUAGAUAUAUGGAGGAACACCAGUGGCGAAGGCGACUCUCUGGUCUGUAACUGACGCUGAGGCUCGAAAGCGUGGGUAGCAAACAGG